rnacentral:rRNA from 1 species
AAAGUUUUUCGGUGUAGGAUGAGACUAUAUAGUAUCAGCUAGUUGGUGAGGUAAUGGCUCACCAAGGCUAUGACGCUUAACUGGUCUGAGAGGAUGAUCAGUCACACUGGAACUGAGACACGGUCCAGACUCCUACGGGAGGCAGCAGUAGGGAAUAUUGCGCAAUGGGGGAAACCCUGACGCAGCAACGCCGCGUGGAGGAUGACACUUUUCGGAGCGUAAACUCCUUUUCUUAGGGAAGAAUUCUGACGGUACCUAAGGAAUAAGCACCGGCUAACUCCGUGCCAGCAGCCGCGGUAAUACGGAGGGUGCAAGCGUUACUCGGAAUCACUGGGCGUAAAGGGCGCGUAGGCGGAUUAUCAAGUCUCUUGUGAAAUCUAAUGGCUUAACCAUUAAACUGCUUGGGAAACUGAUAGUCUAGAGUGAGGGAGAGGCAGAUGGAAUUGGUGGUGUAGGGGUAAAAUCCGUAGAUAUCACCAAGAAUACCCAUUGCGAAGGCGAUCUGCUGGAACUCAACUGACGCUAAGGCGCGAAAGCGUGGGGAGCAAACAGGAUUAGAUACCCUGGUAGUCCACGCCCUAAACGAUGUACACUAGUUGUUGGGGUGCUAGUCAUCUCAGUAAUGCAGCUAACGCAUUAAGUGUACCGCCUGGGGAGUACGGUCGCAAGAUUAAAACUCAAAGGAAUAGACGGGGACCCGCACAAGCGGUGGAGCAUGUGGUUUAAUUCGAAGAUACGCGAAGAACCUUACCUGGGCUUGAUAUCCUAAGAACCUUAUAGAGAUAUGAGGGUGCUAGCUUGCUAGAACUUAGAGACAGGUGCUGCACGGCUGUCGUCAGCUCGUGUCGUGAGAUGUUGGGUUAAGUCCCGCAACGAGCGCAACCCACGUAUUUAGUUGCUAACGGUUCGGCCGAGCACUCUAAAUAGACUGCCUUCGUAAGGAGGAGGAAGGUGUGGACGACGUCAAGUCAUCAUGGCCCUUAUGCCCAGGGCGACACACGUGCUACAAUGGCAUAUACAAUGAGACGCAAUACCGCGAGGUGGAGCAAAUCUAUAAAAUAUGUCCCAGUUCGGAUUGUUCUCUGCAACUCGAGAGCAUGAAGCCGGAAUCGCUAGUAAUCGUAGAUCAGCCAUGCUACGGUGAAUACGUUCCCGGGUCUUGUACUCACCGCCCGUCACACCAUGGGAGUUGAUUUCACUCGAAGCCGGAAUACUAAACUAGUUACCGUCCACAGUGGAAUCAGCGACUGGGGUGAAGUCGUAACAAGGUAACCGUAGGAGAACCUGCGGUUGGAUCACCUCCUUU